rnacentral:rRNA from 1 species
UACGGAGGGAGCUAGCGUUGUUCGGAAUUACUGGGCGUAAAGCGCACGUAGGCGGCUUUGUAAGUUAGAGGUGAAAGCCCGGGGCUCAACCCCGGAACUGCCUUUAAGACUGCAUCGCUUGAAUCCAGGAGAGGUGAGUGGAAUUCCGAGUGUAGAGGUGAAAUUCGUAGAUAUUCGGAAGAACACCAGUGGCGAAGGCGGCUCACUGGCCCGAUACUGACGCUGAGGCACGAAAGCGUGGGGAGCAAACAGG